rnacentral:rRNA from 1 species
AAAUUGAAGAGUUUGAUCAUGGCUCAGAUUGAACGCUGGCGGCAGGCCUAACACAUGCAAGUCGAGCGGAAACGAGUUAUCAGAACCUUCGGGGAACGAUAACGGCUUCGAGCGGCGGACGGGUGAGUAAUGCCUAGGAAAUUGCCCUGAUGUGGGGGAUAACCAUUGGAAACGAUGGCUAAUACCGCAU